rnacentral:tRNA from 1 species
CGGGGCGUAGCGCAGACCGGUAGCGCGCACGGUUCGGGUCCGUGAGGUCGGCGGUUCAAAUCCGCCCGCCCCGACCA